UGAUGUGAGGGCUAUCUGGCUGUGACAUCUGUCACUGUAUUGAUCGCCAGGGUUGAUUCUGCUGUCUGGCUGCCUAGGCAAAUGUCCCCCUUUUCCCUCAAUGUUCCAAGCACGUCUCUCCCAAAGCUGCACACUUGCUGGAAGAAGAUGCCCACCCCAGAUAGAGAAGGACUGGUUCCUCCAGUCAAGGGUAGCUUCACUGCCCUGCCUACAAACAAGCUCUCAAAAGGGGUCCUGCUGUAUGUGCUGUGUUUAUCCAAUGUGUUAUGUCACAGCUACCUUUCCAUGUCGAU
ensembl:misc_RNA 7SK 7SK RNA